GAUGAACGCUGGCGGCGUGCCUAAUACAUGCAAGUCGAGCGAACAGACGAGGAGCUUGCUCCUCUGACGUUAGCGGCGGACGGGUGAGUAACACGUGGAUAACCUACCUAUAAGACUGGGAUAACUUCGGGAAACCGGAGCUAAUACCGGAUAAUAUAUUGAACCGCAUGGUUCAAUAGUGAAAGACGGUUUUGCUGUCACUUAUAGAUGGAUCCGCGCCGCAUUAGCUAGUUGGUAAGGUAACGGCUUACCAAGGCAACGAUGCGUAGCCGACCUGAGAGGGUGAUCGGCCACACUGGAACUGAGACACGGACCAGACGCCUACGGGAGGCAGCAGUAGGGAAUCUUCCGCAAUGGGCGAAAGCCUGACGGAGCAACGCCGCGUGAGUGAUGAAGGUCUUCGGAUCGUAAAACUCUGUUAUUAGGGAAGAACAAAUGUGUAAGUAACUAUGCACGGCUUGACGGUACCUAAUCAGAAAGCCACGGCUAACUACGUG
rnacentral:rRNA from 1 species